GUUUUACAUUAGGUCUCUUUGUGGCUCUAGUUUGUUUCUGGUUAUUUUGCACGAAUUGCAUAGUUUUCAGAUAUCUCCAGAUAUGAGGAAUGCAAUGCUAGCGUUAGUUAUCUUACUUGGUUUGCUUGCUUUUGUCAACUGUUCGUGUGACUUCUUCGGGAGACAUUCAGUUUGAUAAAUCAAAACAUUGUCGCAAAUACAGGACGUUUGUAAAGUGUACAUCAGACGCAGGAUGCAGCAGCGAUGCUCGCUUCAAGAAGGGAAUAGAUAUAGCAAACUGUAUCUUAAGUGUAGCAUUGUUUGGCAGCACGAAUUACAUCACCCACCACUAAAGAACACGGUGAUUAAACAGGAAAAAGAAAUACAUGUUACCAGAAGCAUUCUACAAAUAUUCAAGAACAUUUUCCGCUAAUAUUUUAGAUAUUUAUAAAAGAUAUUUGGAAGAGAUAAUAAGCCGCUGCCAUUUUAUGUUAAUGUCUUUGUGUGUGUGUGUGUGUGUGUGUGUGUGGUGCGUG